ensembl:lncRNA
AUAGAGCAAAGGGAGAGCCUUGCGUAGAACAGCUGGGGCCCAGAGCCAGAAAUCUCAUUAAAAGGAAAAUCACUGAAUGAUGGAGGGUGACGGAGACUCAGGCUGGUGCCCAAAUACACACAGUGGUGGACUGUAAGAUCAACAACCGAGGGGUUGUAACUUGAGCAAGAGAUAACUGUGAUGUCGCCAACUCUCCCGGUUUAAAUUCAGGUGCCAACAGAGUCCAGUGUGCACUCAUUCCUGGACUCCAGUUAAGCAUACCUGUGAGACUUGGAGGCCCAAACGAGGCCUUGGUUGGGCUGUGCUGUGGGGCUGCCAGCAGCAGGUCUCGGUGCCCAUCCCACAGCAUCACUGUUUCCCUGGCCCUGCCUGUUUCAGACAGCUGGGGCCCCGUGGGGUGUGCUCAGAGCAGUGCAGGUGAGCGCUGUGGGAAUACAGCUCCCAAGGAGGCCAGUGGGAGCAAGAGCCUGGAGGAUUUGUUGCUGAGAGAUGGAGGCAUUGCUGCUGCCUGCCUCUGGGUCAACGAGUGGUCGUGGCCUCUCUUUCUCUCUCUUGCAGUCUGUAACACCUUUUGCCCACCGUAGCACCAGCGAGGGGAAGAGCUUCCCAGCCUCAGCAUUCCCACAGCACAAGCUGGGGCCACGGACGUGGCACUGGACUGGACCUGCCACAUCUGUUGGCAAAGUUGGCAUGAUGUCACCCACGUGACCCCUUGUUUACACCAGCUUUGCUGUGGCUGUGCAUUCUGGUGGGCAAAGAAGAAGCUGAGUUGUGCAGUAUGCGGGCACAGAAUAAAGACCAUCCAGCACUCAGUGUGGUCAGACAAUGAUUAUGUCCAGCGCUGUAUCCUGCAGCCCGCAGCACACUCAGGUUAUGGCCUGCAGGGUGAGCAGGGGCCUGCAGAGCUGGUGCUCGUUGCCUCCACACACAACUUCCCAACCAAGGUCUGGGCUGCCUUUUUCCAAGAAUAUCCAGAAGACCUCCACGCUCUGCUCCUGUGGCUCCAAGAAGAGAUCGAGAGGAUCUGCAGCAAUGAGCGGUGGAAGGUGCUUGGAGUGCACAGUCAUGGGCUUCCUUUGUACCUAUGGGCUCAACCAGGAGGCCUUACCAGGCCGGGGCUGGCCGGGCUGCGGCUCAGGUGGACUUGGAGGUGAACCAUCACCUUUCAGUCUGCUUCUGAGAGAAAAUAAAAAUAAGUAAAUGGCAUUUUGAAGGAAAACAAAACCCCACAGGAACAUCUUUUUCCAAGUCAUCAGUUCACCGAAGCCAGCAGGAUUUAGCAACAUCCAUAAAGUUUAAGUGCAGUCUCAAAUACAAAUGUUUUCCUGAACCAGGGCUGAGGGCAGUUAUAAGGACUUUUCUUAGCUCCCUGAGACCUCACACUGACAAAAAUAAAAAAAAAAAUAAAAAAUAAAAAUAAUAAAAAAAAAGGGGGGGGGGUCUAUAACUGUACAGGAGACAUCCACUAAAGGAAGGUUGUACGUUGAUAGGAUUCUGGUAAAUAUACUAUAAUAAAAUCAGAUAACAUCCUGG